rnacentral:misc_RNA from 1 species
AAUUACUUAAUAGGAUCACUGAAAACUUAAAGGGAAAAAUUGUGCAAAAUUUGGAAUGAACUGAAAAUUGAACUGGAAAAUAGCAAUCUGUUUAGCAAAACUAGUUUAAAUACUAUACACUCUUUAAAAACACAAAUAUUCAAAUGAAGAAACUAAUAGAGAAACAGUAUCUCGCGUCGAAACGACCCUAAAGGAACAAAAGAUACUCUUCAAAGACCUAUAGUUUUAGUGCUUCUCUGAAUCCAAUGCUGAAACUUUGCUCUAGACCUUUCUUGCCACCACCAAGCACUGGAUUUCCCUUUUGCAUCAUAGCAACAAACUCAUUGUAAUCAAUACGUCCGUCAUUGUCCUGGUCAGCUUCUCUGAUCAUUUCUUCCAUUCGAACAUCUCCAAUGCCAAAUUCUUCACAAGCAUGUUGAAGCUCGUCUGCAGUGAUGUAGCCACUUCCAUCUUUAUCAAAGUAAGAGAAUGCAGCAAAAAGAUGAUCGUCUCGUUCAAUUUUGUUAAGGUGUAAUGUUGCAGCUAUAAAUUCACCAUAAUCAAUUGUUCCACUGUUAUCAACAUCAGCUGCUUGCAUAAGAUCAUAGAUCUCGGAUUCCUUGAGAUUAGCGCCAACUCUUUUUAAACCAACUUUGAGCUCCUCAAAAGUUAUUUGACCACUAUUGUCUGUAUCAAUCAUCUUGAACAUUUCUUUCAGACCGGCAAUUUCUUCUUCAGACAGGCUU